GGGAAAAACAACGAAGUUUCAUUUAGACUUGCAAAAGAUUAAACUUAAAAUGAGGGUUUUUAAAUGUCAGUGAAGUGAGUUUGAGCUUCUGAACUGUUUUGAAACUGUUCAUGGACAAGCGGCUCCACAGGUGAGGGUCACUUCAGCCUGGUGAACGUGGUGUUAGGGACAGGAAAAUAACUUUGUGGAGAACACAAUGUGCUAAAAGUUUAAAGGUCAUGGAUGAGUUGGAUGGAUGAUUCUUUAAUCUGGCAAUCACAAGUACACCACAGAACUGAUGGAAAGCAUCCUGUUCAAAAGUUCAGUUCUUUGGAGUCAUGAAAAAUGUAAUGAAGCCACCAGUGACUCUGGAUGAAGUGCAACAGUCCAUUGAGAUUUUAAACGGCCUUCCAGCACUCUUCCCAUCAGGAGUUGCACCACCACAGAAACUGGGACAGCCACGUGAGCCUCUGUUUCAUAUUCUCAUGCCCUCUGAAAUCGCUGCUGCUUUUCUUAGCAGAUGUCGUCUAUCAAGCCCCUGCUUCUAAUUGACCAGGAUAACUGCAUGAUCAGUGUUGGGAAGAACAGUGACAACAUUCCCCGAAGGCCUGCUGCACGAAGGUGUUCUGUAUGUCAUGGCGUACUAUUACGCGCUGCAAGUCAGGUCCAGAUUGAAGACCCUUUUUAUUUUUUUUUUUAUGUUUAAAAAUAGUAUAUGAAGACCAAGCAAUGUUGUUAAUGUUGUAGACGUAGGGACAUUGUUAUUGGAAAGCCUUGACAUCUAAGAUUUACAUGUUUUAAUAGAAUUCUUAGAAGCGGCCUGAACAUGCUUGUUGUGUAUUUGGAUAAAUCUGUCUUGUUUGCACACUUGUAAUGUAUUUAUAUCAAGCUGCCAUGAUGGCACACUUAUUAAAGUUAAUAAAAUUGAU